AUUGAACGCUGGCGGCAUGCCUUACACAUGCAAGUCGAACGGCAGCAUGAUCUAGCUUGCUAGAUUGAUGGCGAGUGGCGAACGGGUGAGUAAUACAUCGGAACGUGCCCUGUAGGGGGGGAUAACUAGUCGAAAGAUUAGCUAAUACCGCAUACGACCUGAGGGUGAAAGGGGGGGACCGCAAGGCCUCAUGCUAUAGGAGCGGCCGAGGUCUGAUUAGCUAGUUGGUGGGGUAAAGGCCCACCAAGGCGACGAUCAGUAGCUGGUCUGAGAGGACGAUCAGCCACACUGGGACUGAGACACGGCCAAGACUCCUACGGGAGGCAGCAGUGGGGAAUUUUGGACAAUGGGGGCAACCCUGAUCCAGCAAUGCCGCGUGUGUGAAGAAGGCCUUCGGGUUGUAAAGCACUUUUGUCCGGAAAGAAAUCGCACUUACUAAUAUUAGGUGUGGAUGACGGUACCGGAAGAAUAAGGACCGGCUAACUACGUG
rnacentral:rRNA from 1 species